UACGUAGGGUGCAAGCGUUGUUCGGAAUUACUGGGCGUAAAGGGCUCGUAGGCGGCCAACUAAGUCAGACGUGAAAUCCCCAGGCUCAACCUGGGAACUGCGUCUGAUACUGGAUGGCUUGAGUUCGGUCGAGGCGGGCGGAACUGGUGGUGUAGCGGUGAAAUGCUUAGAUACCCCCAAGAACCCCGAUUGCGUAGGCAGCUCGCUGGGCCGAAACUGACGCUGAGGCACGAAAGCGUGGGGAGCGAACAGG
rnacentral:rRNA from 1 species